rnacentral:lncRNA from 1 species
AGAGAGGUCGUGACACUGUGAAAAGGUGCACAUUAGUACAGAGUGUAAUAACUGUCUUGCUGUAAUAGGUACAAUGUUAGAUCAGAUGUCAUGACUUGAAGUAGAACAUUUGAAUACUGACUACGCCAGAAUUUCAAUGACUGCUGCAAGUUUAUGAAGAAAUGCCACAAGUGUCAGAUUUAUGCGGAUAAGAUUCAUGUUCC